rfam:Gonium pectorale scaffold00237, whole genome shotgun sequence.
GGUCGUGUGGCCUAAUGGAUAAGGCGUCGCCCUCCGAAACGUCGGAUGCAGGCGAAGAUUGUGGUUUCGAGUCCCAUCAUGAUCG